rnacentral:rRNA from 1 species
GGGCAUUGGGCGGCAGCUACACAUGCAGUCGAGCGGUAGCACAGAGAGCUUGCUCUCGGGUGACGAGCGGCGGACGGGUGAGUAAUGUCUGGGAAACUGCCUGAUGGAGGGGGAUAACUACUGGAAACGGUAGCUAAUACCGCAUAAUGUCGCAAGACCAAAGUGGGGGACCUUCGGGCCUCAUGCCAUCAGAUGUGCCCAGAUGGGAUUAGCUAGUAGGUGGGGUAACGGCUCACCUAGGCGACGAUCCCUAGCUGGUCUGAGAGGAUGACCAGCCACACUGGAACUGAGACACGGUCCAGACUCCUACGGGAGGCAGCAGUGGGGAAUAUUGCACAAUGGGCGCAAGCCUGAUGCAGCCAUGCCGCGUGUGUGAAGAAGGCCUUCGGGUUGUAAAGCACUUUCAGCGGGGAGGAAGGCGAUAAGGUUAAUAACCUUGUCGAUUGACGUUACCCGCAGAAGAAGCACCGGCUAACUCCGUGCCAGCAGCCGCGGUAAUACGGAGGGUGCAAGCGUUAAUCGGAAUUACUGGGCGUAAAGCGCACGCAGGCGGUCUGUCAAGUCGGAUGUGAAAUCCCCGGGCUCAACCUGGGAACUGCAUUCGAAACUGGCAGGCUAGAGUCUUGUAGAGGGGGGUAGAAUUCCAGGUGUAGCGGUGAAAUGCGUAGAGAUCUGGAGGAAUACCGGUGGCGAAGGCGGCCCCCUGGACAAAGACUGACGCUCAGUGCGAAAGCGUGGGGAGCAAACAGGAUUAGAUACCCUGGUAGUCCACGCCGUAAACGAUGUCGAUUUGGAGGUUGUGCCCUUGAGGCGUGGCUUCCGGAGCUAACGCGUUAAAUCGACCGCCUGGGGAGUACGGCCGCAAGGUUAAAACUCAAAUGAAUUGACGGGGGCCCGCACAAGCGGUGGAGCAUGUGGUUUAAUUCGAUGCAACGCGAAGAACCUUACCUGGUCUUGACAUCCACAGAACUUUCCAGAGAUGGAUUGGUGCCUUCGGGAACUGUGAGACAGGUGCUGCAUGGCUGUCGUCAGCUCGUGUUGUGAAAUGUUGGGUUAAGUCCCGCAACGAGCGCAACCCUUAUCCUUUGUUGCCAGCGGUUAGGCCGGGAACUCAAAGGAGACUGCCAGUGAUAAACUGGAGGAAGGUGGGGAUGACGUCAAGUCAUCAUGGCCCUUACGACCAGGGCUACACACGUGCUACAAUGGCAUAUACAAAGAGAAGCGACCUCGCGAGAGCAAGCGGACCUCAUAAAGUAUGUCGUAGUCCGGAUUGGAGUCUGCAACUCGACUCCAUGAAGUCGGAAUCGCUAGUAAUCGUAGAUCAGAAUGCUACGGUGAAUACGUUCCCGGGCCUUGUACACACCGCCCGUCACACCAUGGGAGUGGGUUGCAAAAGAAGUAGGUAGCUUAACCUUCGGGAGGGCGCUACCACUUGAUUCUUGGCG